rnacentral:lncRNA from 1 species
CAUGAACAAACUUUCUCUAUCUAAAGGAAAACCAGUGCAGAGUGAGCUGGUCUGGAGAAAACUGUGGAGUCUUGCUGUGAAGAAUCAUGUUGUAAAUGUAGCAGGAUUCUUAGAGAUGAUCUAUUCCAACUCUAUCUUUUUAUAAUUAGAAACCUAAGGCCCCCAACAGUAAAAUUAAAUAUUUAUUGAAUAAAAUUUGUUGUUGGCUGAGAUUGCAAUCUGCUUAAAAUAGUCAAGAAUAAUUAAUGCCACUGACUAAGGAGAUAUAAUGGAGGACAUUCCAUGCAUGUUUUUAAUUUUACCUGUUCCCCACAUUCAAUGUUUACCACACCACUUGGCUCUUCUUCUAAAUCUGCUGUUACUUCCAGUUUUCAUGCUAAUUGUAUCUGCUUGUAUUUUUAACAUUCACAGUAUACAUCCUUCCUUUGAUGUCAUCUCGUAAAGAUACAUUUCUUAUCCAUCAUUGUAUCUCCAGUGCAUAUUGUAUCGUGAGGUAAUGUAAGAGUUUCCUGAUGCAGAUUUGGGAUAAUUAGGUUUGCUUAGAAAAACUUAACUAUUUGAUUCCCUCAUCUUUAUGUCUUGGUUUCUUUUCUUGUACCCAAUUUAAUGUCUGCCCCCAAAAGGAUUUGGUGUAAUUCAGACUUGAUGGUAAGGGAAUGUAUAGGUGAAAUUAUAACAAAGUAACACUUUUCAGAUAGUUCUAAUAAAUUUACUAAUGUUCUCUGAUUUAUUUAUUCAAAUGCGCUAUGAGGCAAGCAAAGAUUCCUCUCACUUAUUUUUCUGUAAAUAGAGACAGAAUGGUAACAUUGUUAUUAUUUCUAAAUUAACUUUGACCCAUGUUUUGAAACAGCUGGCAUCAACUCACAGCAAAGUGAAUGUGGGUUUCCAGGAGAUUUUUAGGUGAUGCCUUAAUCUGUUAAAACAAUUGGGGAAAAUUAUGCAACAAACAUGAAAAUUUGUUUUAGUAUAACAUUAGUUAUCUAGGUUUGGGAACUAUUGCAAUGAGCUUCUUGCUAAACUUGAUGCUAUUUAAUAAGUCAGAAUAAAGAAUGUUCAUUUCAUGUAUUUUUGUUUGUUACAUGGACACGGAAUAGGAAUUUUUUUUUUUUUUUUUUUGAGACGGAGUCUUGCUGUGUCGCCCAGGCUGGAGUGCAGUGGCGCCAUCUGGGCUCACUGCCACCUCCACCUACUUUGUUCAAGUGAUUCUCCUGCCUCAGCCUCCUGAGUAGGUUGGCACCACAGGCAGUCACCACCACACCUGGCUAAUUUUGUUUUUUAGCAGAUACGGCAUUUCACCAUGUUGGCCAGGCUGGUCUUGAACUCCUAACGACCUCAGGUGAUCUGCCCACCUCAGCCUCUCAAAGUGCUGGGAUUACAGGUGUCAGCCACCACGCCUGGCCUUUUUACCUGUAAUAUAUCUGUAGAUAAGACACAGGUUAUGAAGACAAGAAGCAGAUGGAAACGUGCAUGUACUCCCCUCCUUACACAUACACUCCAAGUUUGAAGAAAUAUUGAAGUAAACUUUUUAUACAUCAUGGGAUGAUAGAUCUACUGCAUUUAUUUAAAAGCCUUCCAUUAGAUGUAAUGCUUUUUCAGUUUUGCUCCCCAUAGUCUAAAUGUGAGGCCAAUAUAAUUCUGAUACCAAAAUCAGAAAAGGAGUACAAGAAGUGAGCAUUUUAGGCUCAUUUCAUUCACAAUCAUAAAUGUAAAUAUCUAAUAUUGUAUAAAAAUCAUAUAAAAUGGUCAGGUUGGCUUUGUCCCAGAUCUGCAAAUAUAUUUUAAUAUCAGAAAACUGAUGUUAUUUACCACAUUAAUUAAUUAAGUGAGAAACAGCACAUGAUUAUGGUAAUAAUUGCAUAAAACAUCUGAUUAAUUCCAACACAAAUUCGUGUUACAAAAAAUCUUAAUAAAUUAAGGGAAUUUUUAAAUGUGAUAUAUCUGUGGGAAAAAAAUCUUUGAAACAUCCUUUUAAAUAGAAGGAUACUAGCAUUUAAAAAAUUAAGUAAAAGGAACUGAGGAACUGUACUCAUUAUCACCACUUUUAUUCAACCAUACACUAGUCUUAGCUGCCAGCUAGUGCAAUAAACUAAGAUGAAGAUAUUUAUGGUAUAAACAUUGGGAUGGAGGAAAUAAAACUGCCUGCUUUGGAGAUGAUCUGAUUAUUUUUUUUUUAAAAAAAAUCACAACAAGAAAAUCUGUUGCAUGUGUCUAACAGUGGUAUGUACAAGAAUAUUCUUAGAAUCAACAUUGAUAAUAACAAAAAUCAGAAAAGAACUCAAAUGUACAUCAACACACUUUGAAUAGCAAGGCCUUAUAUUAUAUUGUCUACUUUUGUAUAUGUUUGACAUUUUCUGUAAAAGAGAAAUCAAGAAUGAAUGAUUGAAAU